AAACAUCUAAAUGAUAUUACAUGGGAGAUCUUUGGGCCCACCAUACGUACACGAUGGAAUGCCCAAAAUCAAUAUUUAAAAGUUGAGCUCAUUAACCAUUUAGUUGUGUUGUUCGGUAAUAACACAUUCAACUGAACCAAGGUCCUUAAGAAAGAUGGUACUUAUCUAAAUUAUGUGAGGGACCAAUAUAGGUCACAUUUAGAGAAGAACAAAAAAUACGAGUGUCCCCCCAUGAUUUCAGAGAGGGAGUGGAAGGACCUAGUGUCAAAUGAAAAGGAGAAGGCUGAAAAGAAAAAAGGAAAGACACCAACGGGCUAAGGAAGAUUGUCCGACACAUCGAAGGCAACAAAGGCAAGAGUAGAAAAACAUGGGCAGCACAAACUUGGUUGUGGUGGUUAUAUGAAAUUAGUUGCACGAAUUGGCUUUGAAUUCAAGAGAGUGCCCAUAGAAGAUGACCUGAAGAUUGCCUUCCAGCAAGGCUAUGUAGCUAUGGUUGAAUGCCUAAGACUCUUGACAGGGCAAACACAAGCUUCCACUGCAUCUGACGCGCAAAUAAAUAAAAUCAAUGAAGUUUAUUUUAAAUUGAAUACUUGUGUAAUCUAUUCAAUAUUAAUUUACACCAUAAAGUAAUUAUGUGCCUAUUUAUUUUAAACAGGCAAGCAAUGAUAAUACUACACAUGACAUUGGAAUGCAGCUUGGUGAGAGUGGAGCACAACCUACA